GUCGCAAAAAUCGCAAUAAUCCCAAUCCCUCCCGUGCCCUAAUUAUUUUUCUUCUCUUCUCCAGCAGCUCGUGCGGCGGCGACGAACCUUCUGCCCUAUUCCGGCCACGAUCUCCAACAGGUUUGUACACCGACGCAGUUUGGAGAGACGCUCAUUGUUGUUUUCCUUUGCAGACAAAAUGCAGAAUGAAAGAAGUUGGAUGUAUAAGAAGAAUUUGCCUAAUCGUCGGGGUUUAUAAAGGACAGGGAUGAAGAAAUGAGAGAAAUGCGUCGACAACAAGAUUUUAUUAUGCGGCAUCUUCAGUUAAGUUCUGUUUCAAGUCAAAUUCCUCCCGGUGAUGGUGAUGAUGGUGAUGAUGAUGAUGGCGAUGGUGGUGAUUCUUGAUAAAUUUAUGGAAAAGAAGCAUGGAAGGCGACCGAAGCUCCUGAGACAUGACGAUAUGUAUUUUAUUUUCCUUUGGAUGUCUUGUUACAUUUGUUGUUUGGAUUGUUAGAACUUUCAUGUUUGAUAUUAUGAGUUGUUGAACUUGUUUGGAUUUUGACUAGUUGUAUAUAUGAAUAUGACGUGUUUAGUUUUGGAAUGAUUUGUUUGGAUAUAAGAUAUAUGGAUUAUGGAUGUGUUGGAUA